AUAGGUCCCAUCCCUUUAAUCACAGAAGAAAAAGAAAUAAUUUUAGCCAGUUAAGCGAAUAGAGGUAAAAUAGUGGGCCUGUAUGAAGUAGAAAUUUUGUUUCGAGAAAUAGCGCGGCGUUUGAACAGAAAUGUGAGUAUUGUAAUUCAAUGUUAGCAAUCAUGGUGUGAAGAAGGCAAAAGAGGUAGAGCAAAAGGUUCCGGAAGACCCAGAGCUACUACAGAGCCACAAGGCCGUAGUCUUAGAUUAUUGGCCCUAAAUGACAGGAGAUGAUUGCUGAUGAAUUUUUUGCCGAUGAGGAUUUAUUGCCCAUUAUUGCACUUACUUCUACCAGCAAACCAUAGGCGCCAACGUACUGACUGGUGUAUGGAACGUCAACAGUGGGAUAAAGAAAGGAAUCACAUUGUGUUUAGUGACGAAUCACGCGAUGCUCUUGUGUUAGAAAGACGGCGACGUGGAAAAAGA